rnacentral:snRNA from 1 species
CGGCACAUCUGUUAAAAGA